GGGCAGGCCAGACAUCUCCUGCCUAGCCCACGACUGGGAAACCCCCAUGGCCCAAGGUACACGCCAGGACUGGCCUGACUUGCCCUGCGCUCGCUUCCCGGAGGAGUUGCCGGACCUGCCCUGCAACCGCUACCCAGAGGAGUUGCUGGGCCUGCCACUUGCCCACUACCCCGAGGAACCCAUGGUGCUGGACCCCCAGAGGACAUCACCCUGAUCCAGAAGCCUCUAGGAUUGGGAUCAGCACUGGUCCUGCCGCAAAGAGAACACAAAAUGAAAUCAGUUGGUACAGUAUAUAGGACAAAAGUUUAUGAAGAAGAUAUUUGGUUUUGAGUACAAAUAUAAAAAUCAGUUGAGGAUUUCAGAAACCUGUUUUUUUUUUUGCUAAUGGUGGAUGGUGAUCAAAACAAAUUAAAUCAAAAGUUUGGAAAAGAAGAUAACGAAUUCAGUCAGACCUAUAAUAAUAUUGCACGAUGCAGCAAUACAAGACCAUUUUAAAUUACUUGUUUAGAUAUUUUAAUCAGAUUAUUACCUUGUUUAUGCCAAGUAUUGUAUUUUAGUUUUUAGAAAUCUUUCAUAAAUGCGGACAUUUGCAGAAGCUAAUGAUUUAUAGUAAGGUAUUUAUCAC